rnacentral:lncRNA from 1 species
GGCUUCAAAAAGGAGUAGAAAAUGUCGUUGUAGAAGGUCAAGACAAAGGCCCAACAAUCCUAGGUCGGGAGAUGAAGACGCGGCGAGAUUGACAUUUGCCCCAUCUACAUCAAAAGACUCGAUUGUCGUGUAACCUCCCGAUCAAUGUGGUUCAUUUAUAUUUUCUUUUAACCUAGUUUUUUUGUUACAACCAUCACAACACGCACACUCGUUCCUGGAAUCAUCAGCUUCUAUUUCGAUUUAUUUUACACAACCACCACAUUACGCACAAUCUUUCCUUACAUCAACACAUUCAGCACCAGUUUAUUUUAUGCAAGCAUAAUAGCGC